GACGAACGCUGGCGGCGUGCUUAACACAUGCAAGUCGAACGGAAAGGCCCUGGUUUUGUUGUGUGCUCGAGUGGCGAACGGGUGAGUAACACGUGAGUAACCUGCCCUUGACUUUGGGAUAACUUCUGGAAACUAUGGCUAAUACCGGAUAGGAGCUCCUGCUGCAUGGCGGGGGUUGGAAAGGUUCGGCGGCUGGGGAUGGACUCGCGGCUUAUCAGCUUGUUGGUGGGGUAGUGGCUUACCAAGGCGUUGACGGGUAGCCGGCCUGAGAGGGUGACCGGCCACAGUGGGACUGAGAAACGGGCCAGACGCAUACUGGAGGAAGCAGCGGGGAAUAUAGCAAGAUGGGCGGAGGCAGUAUGCAGCAUCGCCGCAUGCGAGAGGACUGUUGUCGGGGUAGAAACCGCGUGCGCCUGGGAAGAACAGUGAGUGACGGUAAUUUAUAAGGAAGCACCGGCUAACUACGUG
rnacentral:rRNA from 1 species